rnacentral:rRNA from 1 species
GACGAACGCUGGCGGCGUGCCUAAUACAUGCAAGUAGAACGCUGAAGGAGGAGCUUGCUUCUCUGGAUGAGUUGCGAACGGGUGAGUAACGCGUAGGUAACCUGCCUGGUAGCGGGGGAUAACUAUUGGAAACGAUAGCUAAUACCGCAUAAGAGUAGAUGUUGCAUGACAUUUGCUUAAAAGGUGCAAUUGCAUCACUACCAGAUGGACCUGCGUUGUAUUAGCUAGUUGGUGGGGUAACGGCUCACCAAGGCGACGAUACAUAGCCGACCUGAGAGGGUGAUCGGCCACACUGGGACUGAGACACGGCCCAGACUCCUACGGGAGGCAGCAGUAGGGAAUCUUCGGCAAUGGACGGAAGUCUGACCGAGCAGCGCCGCGUGAGUGAAGAAGGUUUUCGGAUCGUAAAGCUCUGUUGUAAGAGAAGAACGAGUGUGAGAGUGGAAAGUUCACACUGUGACGGUAUCUUACCAGAAAGGGACGGCUAACUACGUG